rnacentral:rRNA from 1 species
AUUGAACGCUGGCGGCAGGCCUAACCCAUGCAAGUCGAGCGGAUGAAGGGAGCUUGCUCCUGGAUUCAGCGGCGGACGGGUGAGUAAUUCCUAGGAAUCUGCCUGGUAGUUGGGGAUAACGUCCGGAAACGGGCGCUAAUACCGCAUACGUCCUGAGGGAGAAAGUGGGGGAUCUUCGGACCUCACGCUAUCAGAUGAGCCUAGGUCGGAUUAGCUAGUUGGUGGGGUAAAGGCCUACCAAGGCGACGAUCCGUAACCGGUCUGAGAGGAUGAUCAGUCACACUGGAACUGAGACACGGUCCAGACUCCUACGGGAGGCAGCAGUGGGGAAUAUUGGACAAUGGGCGAAAGCCUGAUCCAGCCAUGCCGAGUGUGUGAAGAAGGUCUUCGGAUUGUAAAGCACUUUAAGUUGGGAGGAAGGGAAGUAAGUUAAUACCUUGCUGUUUUGACGUUACCAACAGAAUAAGCACCGGCUAACUUCGUG